GAUGAACGCUGGCGGCGUGCUUAACACAUGCAAGUCGAGCGAGAAGUUUUGAAAAGAUUCUUCGGAUGAAAUUUAAAAUGGAAAGCGGCGGACGGGUGAGUAACGCGUAGGCAACCUGCCCCAUACAAAGGGAUAGCAUUUGGAAACGAAUAUUAAUACCUUAUGAAACUUAACUAGUGCAUGCUAGGUAGGUCAAAGAUUUAUCGGUAUGGGAUGGGCCUGCGUCUGAUUAGCUAGUUGGUGAGGUAACGGCUCACCAAGGCGACGAUCAGUAGCCGACCUGAGAGGGUGAACGGCCACAUUGGAACUGAGACACGGUCCAAACUCCUACGGGAGGGAGCAGUGGGGAAUAUUGCAAAAUGGGGGAAACCCUGAUGCAGCAACGCCGCGUGAACGAUGAAGGCCUUUGGGUCGUAAAGUUCUGUUCUAGGUGAUGAAAACUGACAGUAACCUAGGAGAAAGCCCCGGCUAACUCCGUG
rnacentral:rRNA from 1 species